AGUGAACGCUGGCGGCGUGCCUAAUACAUGCAAGUCGAACGAUGAAGUCCUAGCUUGCUAGGAUGGAUUAGUGGCGCACGGGUGAGUAAUAUAUAGUUAAUCUGCCCUACACAGAGGAACAACAGUUGGAAACGACUGCUAAUACCUCAUACUCCUAUUUGACAUAAGUUAAAUAGGGAAAGUCUUUUCGGUGUAGGAUGAGACUAUAUCGUAUCAGCUAGUUGGUAAGGUAAUGGCUUACCAAGGCUAUGACGCGUAACUGGUCUGAGAGGAUGAUCAGUCAGAUUGGAACUGAGACACGGUCCAAACUCCUACGGGAGGCAGCAGUAAGGAAGAUUGCGCAAUGGGGGAAACCCUGACGCAGCAACGCCGCGUGGAGGAUGACAUUUUUCGGAGCGUAAACUCCUUUUAUCAGGAAAGAAUAAUGACGGUACCUGAUGAAUAAGCACCGGCUAACUCCGUG
rnacentral:rRNA from 1 species